rnacentral:lncRNA from 1 species
CGUCGGGCCCGUCGCACAACCACAACAAGAGGAAGGCGUGGAAGACGAAGAGGGUUCCCCUCCCGCCGUCCGGCCACCAUUGACCUAGCUUGAGGCGCUGCUCCGGCGACCAGAUCGCCGUGGACGGGCGGCGCAGGCAGAGCUCCACGCACGCGCGCGCGUCGCCGGCGGUGACCACGCUGGCCAGCAGAUGAUCUCUCUUCAGGGGGUUUUCAUUAAUUAAUUAAUUAGGAAUAAUAAUGAUAAUAAUAGCGUGAGAUUAUCUAAUUUUUUGUUGUUUUAUAGGUUAAUUUGAUGUGUAAUGCAUGUUUAUUGUUAGCAUUUAGCACUAUCAUUUUGAUUUAUUUUCCAGAUGAUGGUUCUAUGUAAGUCUGCAACAUUUCAUUUUGUUAAAUAAUUAAUUGGUUGUUCUGUUUAUCAGUUCACCUCAAUCUACUCUUAUUUACUCCCUCGAGUUUUCAAUGUUUAUCAUUAGAACAAACAAUUUUAGACAAAACAUAGUUAGCUCAUUCGAUAAUCCAAAGAAUUCUUUUAAAAAUAAAACAAAUUCCAUAUAUUGCUAGA